UACGUAGGGGGCAAGCGUUGUCCGGAUUUAUUGGGCGUAAAGAGCGUGUAGGCGGCUUUACAGGUCCGUUGUGAAAACUCGAGGCUCAACCUCGAGACGCCGGUGGAAACCGUAAGGCUAGAGUCCGGAAGAGGAGAGUGGAAUUCCUGGUGUAGCGGUGAAAUGCGCAGAUAUCGGGAGGAACACCUAUGGCGAAGGCAGCUCGCUGGGACGUUACUGACGCUGAGACGCGAAAGCAUGGGGAGCAAACAGG
rnacentral:rRNA from 1 species